AGAUAAUGUCACUAAAACCUUUUGUCGAUCGACUUGGGUAACUGGAUUCCCAUACUCCUUUAAUUGACCUGAUAAACUAAUUGCGUAUCAUUCAAGUAUGAUAAUGUUCCUCCAGAGAUAAAUAGGCUGAGGUGCAGGGUCAAUUAUCAUGCUCUGAAGCUCCUUCUCGAGAUUGAGCAGAUGGCUGAUCAACUCGUUUCAAGGAUAAGAAACUGCACUGGUAGUUCAAAUCGUUUCAUGGCUCUUCACUUGAGAUUUGAGAAAGGAAUGGUGGGUCUAUCAUUCUGUGAAUUUGUUGGAACAAGGUCGGAGAAAGCUCUCAUGGGUGCAUACAAAAAGAAAGAAUGGCCUCGCCGGUUUAAGGUUAUCUAGAUUAUGAUCACUAUUCUUAUAAAGCCGACAGUGACCAUUUCAUUUGUGAUAUAUUUGUCUUCCUUUUUGUUUGCUUUGUUGAUUAUUUCAGUUUAUUUUGUUGAUGAUUUUGUUUAAUGAACUUGAUUAUACAUUGGUUGAUGAAAAUUAUGAACUAGGCGUUGGCCUGUCGCCUUUCAGUUUAUUAGACAUUUGUUUGAGAUUUCAGUUUAUUUUGUUGA